rnacentral:rRNA from 1 species
UCCGUAGGUGAACCUGCGGAAGGAUCAUUACAAGUGAGGCUACCGAACGCUGGAAACAGCGGUUAGGAGCUUACACCCACCCGUGUUUACAUACUAUUGUUGCUUUGGCGGGCCGUGGCCUCCACUGCGGGCUCUGCUCGUGUGUGCCCGCCAGAGAACCAAACUCUGAAUGUUAGUGAUGUCUGAGUACUAUCUAAUAGUUAAAACUUUCAACAACGGAUCUCUUGGUUCUGGCAUCGAUGAAGAACGCAGCGAAAUGCGAUAAGUAAUGUGAAUUGCAGAAUUCAGUGAAUCAUCGAAUCUUUGAACGCACAUUGCGCCCUGUGGUAUUCCGCAGGGCAUGCCUGUUCGAGCGUCAUUUAACCACUCACGCCUAGCGUGGUAUUGGGGCACGCGGUCUCGCGGCCCUCAAAAUUAGUGGCGGCGCCGGUGGGCUCUAAGCGUAGUACAUACUCCCGCUAUAGAGUUUCCCCGGUGGCUCGCCAGAACCCCCCAAUUUUUUUUACAGGUUGACCUCGGAUCAGGUAGGGAUACCCGCUGAACUUAAGCAUAUCAAUAAGCGGAGGA